CUACCUUGGUGUGAGAAUUUAGGCCACAAUACAACAUCAUGAAGAAGUUAGUGACAAUAGAUGUGUAACAUUUCAUUAUUAGAGUUUAAACAUUAUAUAAUCUCCUACACUAUGCAAUACGAUGACAGUGGAGCAAUUGGUCAUACUGUGGAAAUCUACACUGCAAAAGAAGGAGAACCCCCGCUGACGGAGGAGGCAAAGUAGGGCGAGGAGACGGCGCAUUUCUGUGUUGGCAGCAGAGGUGGCUUGUCCUCUGUAGCUCCUCGUGACUCUUCUUCACAGACCCCGCGGGAGGAAAAUGAUUCUUUGAGUUCUGAUUAAUUAUUUAUUAAUCUUAUAUGAAAUGUCAACAAAUAGAAAAAAAAAAAAAUCAGCAGCACAUCCCCACAUUUGCAAAGGCGGAGCCGGUGAAUGUGUUUUGGGCACCUUUGCCUAAUACAUAACUUCAUAAGACAUUUUCAGAUUCAUUUUCCAUUUGACCAACUCCUCGAUUAAUUGUGGGGAUAGAC